GACGAACGCUGGCGGCGUGCCUAACACAUGCAAGUCGAACGGAGCUUACUUAUUUGAUCCCUUCGGGGUGACGAUUUUUAAGCUUAGUGGCGGACGGGUGAGUAACGCGUGAGUAACCUGCCUUACAGAGGGGGACAACAGUUGGAAACGACUGCUAAUACCGCAUAAAAUAGCGAGAGGGCAUCCUCUUGUUAUCAAAGGAGCAAUCCGCUGUAAGAUGGACUCGCGUCCAAUUAGAUAGUUGGUGGGGUAACGGCCCACCAAGUCGACGAUUGGUAGCCGGACUGAGAGGAUGAACGGCCACAUCGGGACUGAGACACGGCCCAAACUCCUACGGGAGGCAGCAGUGGGGAAUAUUGGUCAAUGGCCGCAAGGCUGAACCAGCCAAGUAGCGUGAGGGAUGACAG
rnacentral:rRNA from 1 species